rnacentral:rRNA from 1 species
GACGUAGGGCGCGAGCGUUGUCCGGAAUUAUUGGGCGUAAAGGGCGCGUAGGCGGCUUGAUGUGUCAAAGGUGAAAUCCCUCGGCUCAACUGAGGAACUGCCUUUGAAACUGUCUGGCUUGAGGCCGGGAGAGGGUAGCGGAAUUCCCAGUGUAGCGGUGAAAUGCGUAGAUACUGGGAGGAACACCGGUGGCGAAGGCGGCUACCUGGACCGGUUCUGACGCUGAUGCGCGAAAGCGUGGGUAGCAAACAGG